CCUCCUCCUCCUCCUCCUCCUCUCACUGGUAAAGCGGAGCAGGUGAGAGUUUCCACUUAUUAGGUUGUCACUACAGGGCUGUGGGUAGGAGGCGGAUGGGGGGAGGUGACAGCGAGCACUAGAGAAAGGGGACGCCAGACAGAGAGAGCUCAUUCACUUCAACCACAGCUGACUAAAAAGCCCAACAAAGAGCCGCACAGAAAUUGUCUCGGGUUGGAAAAAGAGCUCCCUCUGUUUCUGCUAAUGUGAUGAUGGCCUCCACCUCUUUGAUAAAAGAAAUUGGCUGCCAUGAUAUUCUGCGCCUCCUCAUUUUUGGAAUACUUCUUCCAUCAGUAUUAGUAUCAGGCCAAUCUUCCACUGUUAUGAUGUCCACUCCUUCCACUGGUGCCUCCACCGCCAUGCCUUCCACCGCUAUGACCUCUGGA